rnacentral:rRNA from 1 species
CGCAGCCGCGGUAAUUCCAGCUCCAAUAGCGUAUAUUAAAGUUGUUGCAGUUAAAAAGCUCGUAGUUGAAUUUCGGGAUCAAUUUAUCGGUCGUACCAAUGGUAUGAACUGGUACAAUUGGUUUCUCCCUUCUGACGAAGCAUGAUGUCAUUAAUUUGGUGUCGUGGGGAAUCAGGACUGUUACUUUGAAAAAAUUAGAGUGUUUAAAGCAAGCAUUAGCUUGAAUACAUUAGCAUGGAGUAAUGAAAUAGGACGUUUGAUCCUAUUUCGUUGGUUCCUAGGAUCGACGUAAUGAUUAAUAGGGAUAGUUGGGGGCAUUAGUAUUCAAUUGUCAGAGGUGAAAUUCUUGGAUUUAUUGAAGACUAACUACUGCGAAAGCAUUUGCCAAGGAUGUUUUCAUUAAUCAAGAACGAAAGUUAGGGGAUCGAAGACGAUCAGAUACCGUCGUAGUCUUAACCAUAAACUAUGCCGACUAGGGAUCGGAUGAUGUUAAUUUUUAAUGUACUCAUUCGGCGCCUUA